GACGAACGCUGGCGGCGUGCCUAAUACAUGCAAGUCGAACGCUGAAGGAGGAGCUUGCUCUUCUGGAUGAGUUGCGAACGGGUGAGUAACGCGUAGGUAACCUGCCUGGUAGCGGGGGAUAACUAUUGGAAACGAUAGCUAAUACCGCAUAAGAGUAGAUGUUGCAUGACAUUUGCUUAAAAGGUGCAAUUGCAUCACUACCAGAUGGACCUGCGUUGUAUUAGCUAGUUGGUGGGGUAACGGCUCACCAAGGCGACGAUACAUAGCCGACCUGAGAGGGUGAUCGGCCACACUGGGACUGAGACACGGCCCAGACUCCUACGGGAGGCAGCAGUAGGGAAUCUUCGGCAAUGGACGGAAGUCUGACCGAGCAACGCCGCGUGAGUGAAGAAGGUUUUCGGAUCGUAAAGCUCGGUUGUAAGAGAAGAACGAGUGUGAGAGUGGAAAGUUCACACUGUGACGGUAGCUUACCAGAAAGGGACGGCUAACUACGUG
rnacentral:rRNA from 1 species